UGGGAAGCCGAAGUAGCAGUGAGCCGA
rnacentral:piRNA from 1 species